rnacentral:rRNA from 1 species
GACGAACGCUGGCGGCGUGCUUAACACAUGCAAGUCGAACGGAAAGGCCCCUUUGGGGGUUCUCGAGUGGCGAACGGGUGAGUAACACGUGAGUAACCUGCCCUUGCCUUCGGGAUAACUUCAGGAAACUGGGGCCAAUACCGGAUAGGAAUCCUUGCUGCAUGGUGGGGGUUGGAAAGCUUCGGCGGUUUUGGGUGGACUGGCGGCUUAUCAGCUUGUUGGUGGGGUAAUGGAUUACCAAGGCGUCGACGGGUAGCCGCCCUGUGGGGGCGACCGGCGACAUUGGGACUGAGAUACGGCCCAGACUCCGACGGGAGGGAGCAGUGGGGAAUAUUGAACAAUGGGCGGAGGCCUGAUGAAGAAACGCCGCGUGCGGGAUGACGGCCUUCGGGUUGUAAACCGCUUUCAGCAGGGGCGAAGCUUGUGGUGACGGUACCUGCAGAAGAAGCACCGGCUAACUACGUG